AUUAUUUUGGCAGAUUAGUGUAUUAAGUUUAGAAUUUAAUUAUGUAUUUAUACAAAUAAUA
rnacentral:tRNA from 1 species